UAUCUCUGUAGAGUCUGCAUAUCAAUAAGCGGAGGAAAAGAAACUAACAAGGAUUCCCUUAGUAACGGCGAGUGGAGCGGGAAGAGCUCAAAUUUGAAAUCUUCAAGGUUCUACCUUGACGAAUUGUAGUUUAAAGAAGUGUUUUCUGUUAGAUGAGUAGCAGAAGUUCCUUGGAAUGGGACAUCAUAGAGGGUGAGAAUCCCGUAUUUGGUUAUUCAUUCUAGCUUUGUGAUACACUUUCGAAGAGUCGGAUUGUUUGGGAAUGCAGUCCAAAAUGGGUGGUAAAUUUCAUCUAAAGCUAAAUAUUGGCGAGAGACCGAUAGCGAACAAGUACCGUGAGGGAAAGAUGAAAAGAACUUUGAAAAGAGAGUUAAACAGUACGUGAAAUUGUCAAAGGGAAGCGUUUGACACCAGUGUUGUUUUUCCGAAAAUCAAUUACGAAUGGCUUGAUUUUGUGUUGUAUUGACCUUAUCAGCUUUCUUCACUUUUUUCGAGUCUUUCUUAAUGCACUUUUCGGUUAACAAGUCAACAUCAAUUUCUUUUGUUGUAAAAGAGUAUUCGGAAGGUGGCUUUCUUUUCGGAGAAAGUGUUUAUAGCCCUAUACUUCUACAAUCGGAGAGAUUGAGGUCUGCAGCGUAGAUCCUUCGGGGUUAGAUACACUUGUGCUAAGUUGUAGCUUUUCAUAGACAACUUGUUGACUAUGUUUAGUCAUGCGGCUUACUCGCUUAUGCUAUUUUACCUACGCUUAGGAUGUUGACUGAUAUGUAGUCGUA
rnacentral:rRNA from 1 species